rnacentral:rRNA from 1 species
AUGCCUCAGGCUCACAAGAAGCUCAGCUGCUUCCUCCUCCUCCUUCUCGUCGCUGUUAGCCUUGCUAUCUGCAGCGUCGGCCAGCAGUUCGUCUACUCCAGCUUCGCCGGCGCCAACAUCACCCUCGGCGGCGCGGCCGCGGUCACUCCAACCGGUCUUCUCGAGCUCACCAACGGCACGCUCCGCCAGAAGGCCCACGCCAUCCACCCGGCGCCGUUCCGCUUCCGCGAGCCGGCGGCGCGGAACCGGACGGUGCGGUCGUUCUCGGCCUCCUUCGUGUUCGGCAUCCUCUGCCCCGACGCCAACAACUGCGGCCAUGGCAUCGUCCUGUUCGUCGCCCCUGGGGGCUACAACUUCUCCGCCGCGUUCCCGAGCCAAUAUCUCGGCCUUGUUAACAACAGCACCAACGGCGCCGCCGCGAACCACAUCUUCGGCGUCGAACUCGACACCGACCAGAACAACGAGUUCCGCGACAUCGACGGCAACCACGUCGGCAUCGACGUCAACGGGCUCACGUCCCUCGCGUCCAGCAGCGCCGGCUACUUCGCCGACGACGGCAUCCUCCACAACCUGACGCUCGCAAGCGGCACGGCGAUGCAGGUGUGGGUGGACUACGACGGCGAAGAGAAACUGAUCACCGUGGCCAUGGCUGCCCUGGGAACGGCCAAACCCGUGAAGCCGCUGCUCUCCAAGACCUGCGACCUCUCAACUGUGCUCACGGACACGGCGUACGUGGGCUUCUCGUCGGCCACGGGUUCCUUCAACUCGCAACACUACGUUCUUGGCUGGAGUUUCGCGAUGGACGGACCUGCUCCGGCCAUCGACAUCGCCAAGCUGCCAAAGCUCCCCCGCUUUGGCCCGAAGCGCCAUCCCAAGCUCGCACAGAUCAUCCCACCCGUAGCGACGACAGCGUUCAUCUUUGCCGCGGGCACCCUCAUCGUCCUCCUAAUACGACGGCGGCUCAAGUACAGCGAGCUCCGGGAAGAUUGGGAGGUCGAGUUCGGGCCGCACCGGUUCUCCUACAAGGAUCUGUUCAGCGCCACCGGCGGGUUCAAGGAGAAGAAUCUGCUCGGUGUGGGAGGGUUCGGGAGGGUAUACAAAGGGGUGCUACCGGCGCCCAAACUGGAGAUCGCCGUCAAGAAGGUGUCACAUGACUCAAAACAAGGCAUGAAAGAGUUCAUCGCCGAGGUUGUGAGCAUUGGGCGACUACAACAUCGCAAUCUCGCUCAGUUACAUGGUUAUUGCAGGCGUAAAGGUGAACUGCUCUUGGUAUACGAGUACAUGUCAAAUGGGAGCCUUGAUAGGCACUUGUAUGGCGAUGAUGAGAAGCCGGUUCUAGAUUGGGACAAAAGGUUCCGGAUCAUCAAGGGAAUUGCUUCCGGGUUGCUCUACCUCCACGAGGAGUGUGAGAAAGUAAUCAUCCAUCGGGACAUCAAAGCUAGUAAUGUCCUCCUCGACAAUGAGAUGAAUGGUCGACUCGGUGACUUUGGGCUGGCAAGGUUGUACGACCGUGGCGCCAACCCACAAACCACACAUGUGGUUGGGACCAUAGGAUACCUAGCUCCAGAGCUCGGUCGCACUAGCAAGGCAACCCCCCUGACCGACGUGUUCGCCUUCGGCAUAUUCCUUCUUGAGGUCACAUGUGGACAAAGGCCCAUUAGGCAAAAUUUACAAGGCGAACAAUUAAUGCUGGUCGACUGGGUACUUGAGCAUUGGCACGGAGGAUCACUGGCUGAAACCGUGGAUACCAAGCUUCAUAGCUACGAUGCCGGUGAGGCUUGCCUAGCAUUGAAGCUAGGAUUAUUAUGCUCGCAUCCUCUCUCCAAUUUAAGGCCAGGAAUGCGACAGGUCAUGAGGUACCUUAAUGGAGACGUGCAACUACCGGAGCUUACGUUGAUGAAUGAGAGCUUCGAGAUUCUUGCGAUGAUGCAGAACGAAGGGUUUGACUCGUACGUCAUGUCUUACCCUUCAUCGAUGGAAAGUGUGACCACCUUGUCCAGCCUUGUAGAGGAAACAUGA